GGAAGGGAGGAUUCCGACGCCAUUUUGGGGCAGGGCUUGAGAACUUCGUUCUAUUCUGCCCUUCUUCCUGACCUGGGAGAUGUCAGAAUCUUUCAUUAUCACUUCCACCCUUUUCUGGAAGAACCUGAUUAACUUUUAACGAAGUCAGAUGGAAUGAAAGAAAGCCUGGUACCACACUUCAUAUGUAGAAUGUAAAAAGGAUGGAAGCCUAUUUGGUAGAAUGCCACCCAGCUCCUUUGUGCUGAAGAGUGCCUGCCAUUGCAGGCACUUAGUGGAUCAGUGCUGCACUUGCAGUCAGGUGGACGUGAAAUCAAAUCCUGCCUCAGUCAUUUACUAGCUGUGUAAUUCUGGGCACUUAACUCUUCCCAAAUUUUCUCAUCUGAAAAAAACUGGAAACAGUGAAAGCUCCUACAUUCUAAAGUUGAUGGGAGGACAAAAUGAGGCAUUUAAAAGUGUUAUAUAAAUGAUAGUUAUUAGUAGUAUAACUACUUUUUGAAUUGGGGAGAAAAGAAAAGAAAGCUUGAGCUCUAGGCAAUGUGUUGUGUGUGUGCUGGGGAAGUGCCUGGCACAUAGUAGAUGCUUCAUAAAUGUUUACAGGUUGUUUACAGGAGUUGAAAGGACCAGAGUUCUUUUAUAUUUCUAUAACCUGAGUGCCUUUGACCAAGCUUUAACCUUGCUUCUGGCAUGAGGGCUUGCCAAGUCCUUUUCAGGACUGCUUGCCCACCUUUGGUAUCUACCUGCCAUCCAACUCACCUCUAGACACAGCAAGCCACCCAGUAAAACCAUUGUAGCUAAUGGGCUAAACCUAGCUAGAAACCUUCCCAGUAAUAUUGGGAGUGAAGCAAAGAUGCCCAUUAUCACCACUGCCAUUCGCUAUUGAUUAGAAAUUCUAGAUAUAACAAUAGAAGAAGAAAUCAAAGGAAUUAGAAGAAGCAAUGAGGAAAUAAAUUAUUAUUCUUUGCAGAUGAUACAAAGGUGUACUCAAAUGGACUAAACCAAGUUGAAGGUAACCAACAAGCCACUAACCUGUGGGUGAAUUAGGUACAAUGUCUAUCCCAAGAAUGUGAGAACUUCCUGCAGCAGAAUUUGUUUCCAUUGCCAUAAGCAAGCACUGUGGAGCCCUUAGAACUUGGUCAGACACGGAAGAUGCUAAGAUCAUCCACUGUAUCCAAGGUCAUCACCAGGCACCUUGGCUUUUGUCUUGCCUGGACUUGGAUGACUGGAAGAGAGAGCAAGGCUAAUGACUUUGUGUAACUCUGCCUUAUUUAAAAACAGCUUACAUACAAGUCAAGACAUCACCCUGUAAUAUCAUUCAUCCUCUUUGAAAAUGAAGGACAACAGUCUGAGGUCAAAGAAGCCCCUUCACCCUGGAAGUUCCCUCCACCUGUGUUAGUACUACUACUCACAUUGGAAGUACCCUCCUCCUGGAGACUUCAUCUGCUGAUUGACUGGUUCCUUCCAGCACCUCCAAUUUACAGAAGAAACCCAGACCAAAAAUGUCUUCAUUCUCUCUCUAGGCUGUACUACUGACACGUAUCCAUUGGACUUUCUCUACCACACCCGCGAGUACUAUCUUCUUUCUUCUCCCUUUCGGUUCCCUCUUCUGUUAUCUUCCUCCUUUAGAAUGUAACCUUAUACUUUACAAAGAACUACUGUUAAUAACAGCUAUUCUCAGCAAUACAAUGAUCCAAAACCAUCCCAAAGAGCUCAUGAUUAAAAAAUGCCAUCUACUUCCCGAGAAAAGGAACUGAAUUUGAAUCCAGACCAAAGGGAACUUUUUUCUUUCAUAGUUUUUUUUUCUAUUUGAGUUUCCUUCCACAAGUUUUACAUGAUAGCACCUGUAAGUGUUUCAUAUGACUGCCCAUGUAAAAUCUAAAAUCUAUAUGAGACUGCUUACCAUCUCAGUAGAGGUAAAGGGUUGAGGGGAGGAAGGGAGGGAGAGAAUUCAAGACUCAAUCUUUGAAAAAAUGUUGGAAACUUUUGACAUGCAAUUGGGGGAACAAGUUAAAUUAAAAAUAAAAGAAUGUAAGCUACUUGAGGAGUAGAGACUCUGCUUUUAUUUGCAUUCCCAUCACUCAAUGAAGUUCCAGGAAUACAAUAACCACUUAAUAAAUAAAUGUUUGUUGACUGACUGAUAAAA